CCACUUCAAUUUGCUGCGGGCAAAUAAAGUGAAUGUGAGUAUCAAUUCCCCCAGCGGUGAGAAUCAUACCUUCACCCGCAAUUACUUCAGUACCAGGCCCGAUAAUAAUAUCUACCCUAUCUUGAAUAUAAGGAUUUCCGGCUUUACCAAUUUUGUAAAUUUUGCCGUCUUUAAUGCCGACAUCUGCUUUAACAAUCCCCCACCAGUCUAAUAUUAAAGCAUUAGUAAUCACCGUGUCAACAGCACCGUCUGCAUUAGAAAUAGGCGACUGUCCCAUGCCGUCGCGAAUGA
rnacentral:sRNA from 1 species